rnacentral:rRNA from 1 species
UUUGACCUCAAAUCAGGUAGGACUACCCGCUGAACUUAAGCAUAUCAAUAAGCGGAGGAAAAGAAACUAACAAGGAUUCCCUUAGUAACUGCGAGUGAAGAGGGAAAAGCUCAAAUUUGAAAUCUGGCAGUCUACGGCUGUCCGAGUUGUAAUCUAGAGAAGUGUUUUCCGUGCUGGACCGUGUAUAAGUCCUUUGGAACAAGGCGUCAUAGAGGGUGAGAAUCCCGUCUACGACACGGACUCCCAGUGCUCUGUGAUACACUCUCAACGAGUCGAGUUGUUUGGGAUUGCAGCUCAAAAUGGGUGGUAAAUUCCAUCUAAAGCUAAAUAUAGGCGAAAGACCGAUAGCGAACAAGUACCGUGAGGGAAAGAUGAAAAGCACUUUGGAAAGAGAGUUAAACAGUACGUGAAAUUGUUGAAAGGGAAACGCUUGAAGUCAGUCGCGUCUUCGGAAACUCAGCCUGGCUUCUGCCUGGUGUACUUUUCCGUUGGACGGGCCAGCAUCAGUUUCGGGCCGCCAGAAAAAGGUGAGAGGAAGGUGGCACCCUUUGGGUGUGUUAUAGCCUCUCAUCGUAUGUGGCGGCUGGGACUGAGGACUGCAGCACGCCUCUAAUGGCCGGGGUUCGCCCACGUAACGUGCUUAGGAUGCUGGCGUAAUGGCUUUAAACGACCCGUCUUGAAACACGGACCAAGGAGUCUAACAUGCCUGCGAGUAUUUGGGUGGCAAACCCAUAUGCGGAAUGAAAGUGAACAGUUGGGACUUCUGUCAUGGAAGGCACCGACGCCCGGACCAGACCUAUUGUGACGGAUCCGAGGUAGAGCAUGUAUGUUGGGACCCGAAAGAUGGUGAACUAUGCCUGAGUAGGGUGAAGCCAGAGGAAACUCUGGUGGAGGCUCGUAGCGAUUCUGACGUGCAAAUCGAUCGUCGAACUUGGGUAUAGGGGCGAAAGACUAAUCGA